GACAGAGGAUGCAAGCGUUAUCCGGAAUGAUUGGGCGUAAAGCGUCUGUAGGUGGCUUUUCAAGUCCGCCGUCAAAUCCCAGGGCUCAACCCUGGACAGGCGGUGGAAACUACCAAGCUGGAGUACGGUAGGGGCAGAGGGAAUUUCCGGUGGAGCGGUGAAAUGCGUAGAUAUCGGAAGGAACACCAGUGGCGAAAGCGGCUUCCUGGUCCAGCACCGACGUUCAGGCACGAAAGCGUGGGGAGCAAACAGG
rnacentral:rRNA from 1 species